rnacentral:rRNA from 1 species
GACGAACGCUGGCGGCGUGCCUAAUACAUGCAAGUAGAACGCUGAAGGAGGAGCUUGCUUCUCUGGAUGAGUUGCGAACGGGUGAGUAACGCGUAGGUAACCUGCCUGGUAGCGGGGGAUAACCAUUGGAAACGAUAGCUAAUACCGCAUAAUAGCAGUUGUUGCAUGACAACUGUUUGAAAGGUGCAAUUGCACCACUACCAGAUGGACCUGCGUUGUAUUAGCUAGUUGGUGGGGUAACGGCUCACCAAGGCGACGAUACAUAGCCGACCUGAGAGGGUGAUCGGCCACACUGGGACUGAGACACGGCCCAGACUCCUACGGGAGGCAGCAGUAGGGAAUCUUCGGCAAUGGACGGAAGUCUGACCGAGCAACGCCGCGUGAGUGAAGAAGGUUUUCGGAUCGUAAAGCUCUGUUGUAAGAGAAGAACGAGUGUGAGAGUGGAAAGUUCACACUGUGACGGUAUCUUACCAGAAAGGGACGGCUAACUACGUGC